rnacentral:sRNA from 1 species
AAUUUUAACCAAGUCUGCCACCCAUCCAAACUAAUUUCAAAACUCCCCAGCUUAAUUUCAAAAGAAACCAACCCAUAUGACUCAAAUACAAAUCCCUAACAUGUGCGUCGCUCACUUUCCCCAAAUCUCUCUACUUUGCUUCCCUUCUUGUGCUGAGACCAGAGGCUGAAACCCAUUUGCUGGCUCACUCAUCACUUUCCAAAAUUGUUUUGUUUUGUUGCCUUUGCUGCGAAUCUCCAUUUGUUGUGCUGUUUUUGAAGGAUCUCUGGUAGCAAUUUCCUGAUUCUUGUGUGUGAGCUGGAGGUAAACUUUUUGCUGUUGCUUGUUUGAGUGUUGGUUUGCUGCUGUGGCAGGUUCUCGAGUCUUGGUUUGGAAAUGGCUUGUCACCCUGGAUUGAUUUUGACUUUAGUAUUGGUUUUGUCACUCAAGUGCCUUUAAUUCUCCAUUCUGGACCACAAAUUCUAGGGCUCCAGUUUAUAACAACAACUUAUCACGCACUGUCAGGGCAAGAGGUAAAAUUGCUUAACAUAUGACGUGGCAUGAGCAAAACUAAGGUGAUGAUGGAGUCCUCAAACACCUUGUUGAUGGUGAAUCUUGGCAACACUUCAACCGCACACAUGAGUUAUUUGCAAUGGAACCUCAAAAUGUCAAACUAGGGUUAUGUGUUGACGGUUUCGAUCGUUUUGAAUCGACUGUGAAACCUUAUUCUAUUUGGUCAGUAAUGUUCUGUGUACAAUUUACCUCCAUGGAUGUGUAUGAAACAACAAUAUAUAUUUCUUAAUAUGGUUAUUUCGGGAAAAAAAAAUUCAAGUUAAAACAUAGAUAUUUUCUUGAGGCCUUUGAUAGAUGAGUUGAAAGUAUUGUGAACUCAGGGUGUUGUCAUGUAUAAUGCAUAUAGGAAACAAAAUUUUCA